rnacentral:rRNA from 1 species
CACGUAGGGUACGAGCGUUGUCCGGAUUCAUUGGGCGUAAAGCGCGCGUAGGCGGCCCGGAAAGUCGGAUGUGAAAACCUGGGGCUCAACCCCAGGCGUGCACCCGAUACUCCCGGGCUGGAGGCAGGUAGGGGAGAUCGGAAUUCCUGGUGUAGCGGUGAAAUGCGCAGAUAUCAGGAGGAACACCGGUGGCGAAGGCGGAUCUCUGGGCCGUGCCUGACGCUGAGGCGCGAAAGCUAGGGGAGCGAACAGG